CCUUAUCUUCGUCAAAUUCCCAAAAAUUCCUAGAAACUCCAUUUUCUGAAGAGCUUUCCGCUAUUUUCCUAUUGCCUUCUGAGUUAUUUGCUGCAAAAAUGGAAAGAGAAAGAAGAAAAACAGCCACAAAUCUCGAUCUUCCAGCAUCCAUUGAUUCUUUGAUGAUUACUAGCCCUUUUCCAUGGUCCAAUCCUUCUUAAUUCAUUGAAUAAAUGCAAAAACACACAUAGCUAUAAUAUAUGACAGCUAUGCAUGCACAUACAAUGUUUUUCCUUACAAUUUCAGCCCCAAUUCAAUGCCACAAAAAAUCAGAGAAAAUAUUUAAAUCAAAUAAAAACAACAGAAUUCAGAAGAAUUCAAUGCAAAAACAUGUGAAAAUACGUUCUUUUGGCCUCAAUUUUUUCCCAUCCAACGUCACAAAAUCCCCCACAAUGUACGCAUGUAUCACUCAGUAUUCUGAAUCUUCAAUGCAAAUGCAACCCAGAAAAAGAACCCAUAAAUUUAUUUUUCAUUUUGAGGUGUCAGUUUUUUCCUUAAAAAAUGAAGAAAUAUUUAACAAUAAACAGGUUAUAUUAAAAGGGAAAAAAUAGGUAAGAUUAUUCCGAAAAUGAAUAAAUGAAAUAUAAUCUUGAAACAAAAAUCAACGGGUUCCUGAAAGCCUUUUGAAAAAUAGAAUUUUAUAGGGAGUUUUGUACGUUGGAACGUUUUAGUUUUUCCAGAGUCAAAAAGGAGAGAAACCGGAAAAUGACCAAGAAAAAAAAAAAAAAAAAAAAAAAAAAAAAGAAAGAAAGAAAAGAA
rnacentral:lncRNA from 1 species